UACGAAGGGGGCUAGCGUUGCUCGGAAUCACUGGGCGGUAAAGGGUGCGUAGGCGGGUUUUUAAGUCAGGGGUGAAAUCCUGGAGCUCAACUCCAGAACUGCCUUUGAUACUGAAGAUCUUGAGUUCGGGAGAGGUGAGUGGAACUGCGAGUGUAGAGGUGAAAUUCGUAGAUAUUCGGAAGAACACCAGUGGCGAAGGCGGCUCACUGGCCCGGUACUGACGCUGAUGUGCGAAAGCGUGGGGAGCAAACAGG
rnacentral:rRNA from 1 species